rnacentral:rRNA from 1 species
UACGGAGGGGGCUAGCGUUGUCCGGAAUUACUGGGCGUAAAGCGCACGUAGGCGGCUUUGUAAGUUAGAGGUGAAAGCCCAGGGCUUAACCCUGGAAUUGCCUUUAAGACUGCAUCGCUAGAAUCGUGGAGAGGUGAGUGGAAUUCCGAGUGUAGAGGUGAAAUUCGUAGAUAUUCGGAAGAACACCAGUGGCGAAGGCGACUCACUGGACACGUAUUGACGCUGAGGUGCGAAAGCGUGGGGAGCAAACAGG